rnacentral:rRNA from 1 species
CCUACGGGCGGCUGCAGUGGGGGAUAUUGGACAAUGGGCGCAACCCUGACCCAGCGACGCCGCGUGAAGGAAGAAGUAUUUCGGGUUGUAAACUUCUGUUCUCAGGGACGAAACAAGUGACGGUACCUGACCAAUAAGCCACGGCUAACUACGUGCCAGCAGCCGCGGUAAUACGUAGGGGGCAAGCGUUAUCCGGAUUUACUGGGUGUAAAGGGAGUGUAGGCGGUAAAGCAAGUCAGAUGUGAAACCCAUGGGCUCAACCUCUGGACUGCACUUGAAACUGUUCUUCUUGAGUACUGGAGAGGCAGACGGAAUUCCUAGUGUAGCGGUGAAAUGCGUAGAUAUUAGGAGGAACACCAGUGGCGAAGGCGGUCUGCUGGACAGUAACUGACGCUGAGGCGCGAAAGCGUGGGGAUCAAACAGGAUUAGAUACCCGAGUAGUC